UGGGGAAUAUUGGACAAUGGGGGGAACCCUGAUCCAGCCAUGCCGCGUGUGUGAAGAAGGCCUUAUGGUUGUAAAGCACUUUAAGCGAGGAGGAGGGUACUGGUAUUAAUACUACCAGGUACUGGACGUUACUCGCAGAAUAAGCACCGGCUAACUCUGUGCCAGCAGCCGCGGUAAUACAGAGGGUGCGAGCGCUAAUCGGAUUUACUGGGCGUAAAGCGUGCGUAGGCGGCUAAUUGAGUCGGAUGUGAAAUCCCCGAGCUUAACUUGGGAAUUGCAUUCGAUACUGGUUAGCUAGAGUGUGGGAGAGGAUGGUAGAAUUCCAGGUGUAGCGGUGAAAUGCGUAGAGAUCUGGAGGAAUACCGAUGGCGAAGGCAGCCAUCUGGCCUAACACUGACGCUGAGGUACGAAAGCAUGGGGAGCAAACAGG
rnacentral:rRNA from 1 species